rnacentral:miRNA from 1 species
UUUCAUUGACCGGAAGGACCCUCCUCUGGUCGAUGAGGAAGCUAAACCUCAUUGACCGGAAGGGAUCCCUUCCGGUCGAUGAGGUUUAGCUUCCUCACUGACCGGAAGGGGUUCCUUCCGGUCAAGUGGGA